rnacentral:rRNA from 1 species
GACGAACGCUGGCGGCGUGCUUAACACAUGCAAGUCGAACGGAAAGGCCCUGCUUUUGUGGGGUGCUCGAGUGGCGAACGGGUGAGUAACACGUGAGUAACCUGCCCUUGACUUUGGGAUAACUUCAGGAAACUGGGGCUAAUACCGGAUAGGAUCUCCUGCUGCAUGGUGGGGGUUGGAAAGUUUCGGCGGUUGGGGAUGGACUAGCUGCUUAUCAGCUUGUUGGUGGGGUAGUGGCUUACCAAGGCUUUGACGGGUAGCCGGCCUGAGAGGGUGACCGGCCACAUGGGGCCUGCGAUACGGCCCAGACUGCUACGGGAGGCAGUAGUGGGGAGCAUUGCACAAUGGGGGGAAGCGUGAGGCAGCGACGCCGGGUGCGGGAUGACGGCCUUCGGGUUGUAAACCGCUUUCGCCUGUGACGAAGCGUGAGUGACGGUAAUGGGUAAAGAAGCACCGGCUAACUACGUG